GCGACAAAGAGUGUGAGAGACACUCUCGCCGAAAGUCCAAGGGUUCCUGCUUAAAGCUAAUCUGAGCAGGGUAAGCCGGCCCCUAAGGCGAGGCCGAAAGGCGUAGUCGAUGGGAACCAGGUUAAUAUUCCUGGGCCAGGAGGAUGUGACGGAUUGUGGCGGCGUGCGUGCCUUAUCGGAUUGGCGCGUAUCCAAGACAGUCCCAGGAAAUAGCCCUCCAUGAGAUCGUACCCUAAACCGACACAGGUGGACUGGUAGAGAAUACCAAGGCGCUUGAGAGAA
rnacentral:rRNA from 1 species